CCCAACAGGAGCAAAGGAAUGUGGGGUGGUUGCAAAGAGGUUGUAGCAUUCGUCUAUGAUCUCAAAAGCAUUGCUUUUAAAUCUUUCAGGGCUUCACACCAGGCAGCAUGUCCUCCAGCCCAGUCAGGAAUCAACAUUGUGUUUACACAUCAGAGAUGAGGAGCGAAGCAGUUGGCAUUUCAGAAUUCCAACCUGUAUGACAAUGAGAUUUUAGAGACUUUGCAUCCAUAAACCAUGAGGGCUAGAAUCUUUCCCGUAAAAAAUAAUACUGACACUUUAAGAACGCGACUUUAAAAAAGCAACAAGACAAAGUCACAGGAGUUGGCAACCCGGAGAAUUUAAAAUUACUGUGUGCAUGUAGUUAGCGAUAUAAUUAGCCACAUAACUCAAGCGUGCAACCGCUGUCCGACUGACUUUGCUACAUUUAAGCGAACCGUUUCCGGCAUGAAACAUCCAUCAUUCCUUAUCAGGAAAACAGGCCUGGGAAUUGUGGCAGCAUAACCAACUAUUAAUUCUAUGAAAAGCAAUUUUCAAACUACAUUUUAAUGUGCUAUUUACAGGAGGCUCUCUCUGUAAUACUUGCAAUUCCCUGGGAUGCAAAUUUCACACUUGUUAUUUCAAGCAGGGCCCAAAAAUAUUAAAAUGAAAUCAGUAUCUUCCGAGGUAACACAGUGAAAUAACCAGGCAGCUCAGCCUUUCCCAUUCCAGUGCCCUCCAGAUAUUCUGGACUUCAAAUUCCCAUCAGCCCUAGCUGUGUGGGUUGUUGUCAGAGAGGAUUUAUCACCAAAGAACCCACACAAAUUGUAUCUACAGAUAGCAUCAAAGUGGAGACCUGGAACUUCAAGAAACCACUCACAACUCACCAGCCCAUCUGGGGAAUAAAGACUCCCCAUUUCCAUCUCUUUCCCCAAUCUGCAAGGGCCAAUGCUCACAUGCACAUUUGCCAUUCAUGCUUCAGAGGUGACCCACGUAGAUCCCAGACCACUCCAAUGACAGGGUCAUCUACUGGGAUGCCUUCCUUCAAAACCACCACCAGGUCUAGAACUGUAGGCACAACUCUCUGAAGAUCUCUUGCAAUUGUUGGUUGUCACACCAAGAGCUGUUAAGCACACUAUAUGUAAAUCUAACCCUUGGACCUGAUCCAGUGGCUUCAGCUGUUGCAAAAUGCUGUGAUCAGAUUGCUGGUGGAGAAAGACUAGCACAUCACUCCUGUGCUUAAAAGCUUGCACUAGCUGACCAUACACUACCAAACCAGGUUCAAGGCUCUUGUAUUAAUUUACAAGGCCCUCAACAACUUGGAUCCAGGAUACCUUAAGGACCACAUCACUCCCUUCUAUCCCUGUCUGAUCACUGUGGUCUUUGGGGGAGUCACUGUCAGUGGUCUCCCAUGGUUCAGAUGCAUGACUCAUUCAUAUCCACCAGGGACCAUGUGUUCAGGAUUAUGAGCUCACUUUUAUGGAACUCCCUUCCAGCUGAACAGAAAGGCCUCUCUUCCUGUUGAACUUGAUCUGAGUACUU